UUUUUCCGUCCUCUUGAUACGGAUAAGCCGAGGGUUCCCAGAGCGUUUCUCUUCUUGGGCCCCUCUGGGGUUGGUAAGGCAGAACUUGCCAAAGCCAUCGCCGUGCAUUUAUACGAUAAUGUGGACCGGCUAAUACGGGUGGACCUGUCAGAAUCCACAGAAUCUGCCUUGGGGAGACUUGUCGACGCUGUGAGUUCUAUGCCGUACAGUGUUAUUCUCUUUCGCAAAAUUGAGAAGGCCCCCUCCUCGAUUUUGGACAUCAUCAUUCAUAUGCUAAAUCAAGGUAAACUAAUUGAUGGGCAAGGACGUAGCAUCGACUUCACUAAUACCAUGGUUAUUAUGACUUCAAAUGUGGGAGCAGAACAGCUCCAUUUGUUUUGCAAAUGCUCCUUGCAUGAUCCGCGGGAGUUUUUUGGAAAACAUGAUUGUUACCUGAAGGGUAGCGGCCCCGAGCGAGUUAUUGAAGAGGUAUAGGAUUUUUAUAGUUUGAGAAAUCUCAUUUGUUUUUUGAUGUGGGAUGUGCCGAGGGUUUCUUUUCAAGUAGAUGACAAUCAAUAUUUCGUGUCCACAUGCUUUGCAGGCAAAAAGGUUCCUCAAACCUGAGUUGCUGAAACUCCUGGAUAAUAUAUAUGUGUUUGAGAAGAGGCUUUUAAAUAAACUUAUUGCUAGGGUUAAAUUGAGGGACAUGGUUAGAUCAAUAACUGAACGAAAGGUUGUCGUAUAUCCUUCCGAGGAAGCGUUAAAUCUAUUGUCUCUCGAGCUGCCUGUGAGUAUCCUUUGUCAUCUUUGCAGUUGUUUAUUUGGAGUUGAAUUUUGUAUAAAUGUGGUUCGUGUUGGUUUUAGUGUUUCACCCGCGCCAUGCACGGUCUUGUCUUUGUAUGUGUUUGCUUCCAUAAUGUAUUUGUUUAUGUAAUACCUAAAUAUAUACAUGCAUUCAAACAUCUACUUACAUACCAACGAAUGUACAUGCAUGUAAACAUCCACAAAUAUAUUUCGAUGACUAACAUCACACGGCUAACCAUAUUUUCGUCACGCAAGGUAUAAUGAGUUUCUGGGUUUUGAGUUCUUAGUCCAAAUUUUAUGAACAAUCUAAGCAAUUUGAUGAAGCAGCCAACAAAAUAAGUUUUGGACAGAUUCUCCAGAAUAAAAGUAGCAUCAGGCCUUCUCAAACAUACGAAUCCCAUUGAUCAGAAACCCCGCAUUAGUCUAUAAUACUCAAAUACACUCGGUUCUUGUGAAGUUCCCCCCUAUUAUGAAAAGAGAAAUAAAAUUUGUACAAGGUUAAAAUUAAGAAAUAUACUAAGAAAUAUGAAUAUUUUGCCAUGUCCAUGUAUCCUUUAAAUGAGAAUUAUUGGAUGACUCCGACACUAGGACAGCAAUCCGCACCCAACGCCCGUACCCGAGACCAGGUAACAUAGGUGGCACCCUUUCGCGACGUGCCAAUAGGAGGGCACAGCUGUACUAUUAUAUUAUAUGAUUAGAAUUACUGUCGUUGCAUUCUUUGAACGAGGUUGCCUCUUUAUUUUGUACCUUAGUUAUAGAAAAUGAGAAAAUGCUUGUGUCUUGACCUGAGAUCUUUGUCAAUUUGACAUAAUAUUUUAAUAGAAUUUUUUUUUUCCGUCUGUGAAGACUGAUAGAACACACUGGCCCGAUAUUUUUGUCUGGUUGUUUAUCUGGAGAUUUUUCUACCUUUGGAGAUUGGAUGCCUCCGUUCAUUCAAUUUUGCACCUGAUUAGUUUUGUCAUUUCUCAUCCAAACCCCACAACUUAGAAGUCCCUUCUUUAUAAGUAAAGAAUCGUGUCAGAUAUAAAGAGGUUUUAAAUGACAUUUUAUUGGAAAUGAUAGGGUGCACUUAAUUUCUGUUCUUAUGGAAACCCACCCCCCACUAUUUCUGGAUUGGAAAUCUUUUCCUGCAAGAUAAAGGAAUAGUAGUUGUACAUUUCUUUGCCACUAAUUACUUUGCGAUGGACUGACUUAGGCCACUUAAACAAACUUUCAGGCACUAUCCCGUGAGAAGUGGUUGGACUGGCAUUCUCUGAUUAUUGUGAAGUAUUAGUUCUAGUAUGUUGCCUUGUGCACUUCAUAAUUGUCUCCCAAUUUCGUCACAUUUCAUUAACGAAUAUGCACGAAUAUGCUGGAAGCCCAGUCCUUUACAAUAUAGUUAUGUUGUUUCUUUGGCCUAAUAAUUUACAACUCCUACAAGUUAUGUUGUGGCACUACUUGUUUGACAUGUCUUUAUGCAUACCUUUUGAAUAUGAAAGAGCGAAGGCUAUGGUCCUCUCUUGGAAUUUUUAGUGGUCUAUAGAGUUUGAUAAGUGUCGUUGUGCCCUGGAUUUACUGAUAGAUGUGCCAAGUACAAAUUAUUAAAAUUAUAAGGCGCCUUUGGAUGUGCGUUCAAACACUUGGGGGUGGGAUUGGAUGGGAUUUUUUGCUGUCGCGAGAGAGAGGGGGGAGGGGUCGACAUGUAUCUGUGUCCAACAUGUUUGAAGUCUCACCUUCU
rnacentral:lncRNA from 1 species